UCUGGUGCUUGCACUAGAAAAACUUAGCGGCGAACGGGUGAGUAACACGUAAAGAACCUGCCUCAUAGACUGGGACAACUAUUGGAAACGAUAGCUAAUACCGGAUAACAGUAUUUCUCGCAUGGGAGAUAUUUAAAAGUUGGUUAUGCUAACACUAUGAGAUGGCUCUGCGGUGCAUUAGCUAGUUGGUGGGGUAAAGGCCCACCAAGGCGACGAUGCAUAGCCGACCUGAGAGGGUGAUCGGCCACACUGGGACUGAGACACGGCCCAGACUCCUACGGGAGGCAGCAGUAGGGAAUCUUCCGCAAUGGGCGAAAGCCUGACGGAGCAACGCCGCGUGAGUGAAGAAGGAUUUCGGUUCGUAAAGCUCUGUUGUUAGGGAAGAAUGGAUAUGUAGUAACUAUACAUGUACGAGAC
rnacentral:rRNA from 1 species